AAGAAAGGGAGGCUCUUCGGAGCUUUCGCUGGAGGAGGGGCUUGCGUCUGAUUAGCUAGUUGGAGGGGUAACGGCCCACCAAGGCGACGAUCAGUAGCCGGUCUGAGAGGAUGAACGGCCACAUUGGGACUGAGACACGGCCCAGACUCCUACGGGAGGCAGCAGUGGGGAAUCUUCCGCAAUGGACGAAAGUCUGACGGAGCAACGCCGCGUGAACGAUGACGGCCUUCGGGUUGUAAAGUUCUGUUAUACGGGACGAAUGGUACGACGGUCAAUACCCGUCGUAAGUGACGGUACCGUAAGAGAAAGCCACGGCUAACUACGUGCCAGCAGCCGCGGUAAUACGUAGGUGGCAAGCGUUGUCCGGAAUUAUUGGGCGUAAAGGGCGCGCAGGCGGCGUCGUAAGUCGGUCUUAAAAGUGCGGGGCUUAACCCCGUGAGGGGACCGAAACUGCGAUGCUAGAGUAUCGGAGAGGAAAGCGGAAUUCCUAGUGUAGCGGUGAAAUGCGUAGAUAUUAGGAGGAACACCAGUG
rnacentral:rRNA from 1 species